UUGAUUUCAGUGGCUACAUUC
rnacentral:siRNA from 1 species